CAAGACUUGACAUCGCAAGCAUAGCUAUGAAAGUAGCGAAUUCCUUCGGGACUUGCAGACAGAUGGUGCAUGGUUGUCGUCAGCUCGUGUCGUGAGAUGUUCGGUUAAGUCCGGCAACGAGCGCAACCCUUAUGGCCGGUUGCCAAUAUUAAGUUAGGAACUCCGGUCAGACUGCCGUGGUCAACACGGAGGAAGGUGGGGAUGACGUCAAAUCAUCAUGCCUCUUACGUCUUGGGCUACACACGUGCUACAAUGGAUGCUACAAAGAGCUGCGAACUCGCAAGAGCAAGCGAAUCUCAAAAAAACAUUCCCAGUUCGGAUUGAGGGCUGCAACCCGCCCUCAUGAAGUUGGAGUUGCUAGUAAUCCCGAAUCAGAAUGUCGGGGUGAAUGCGUUCCC
rnacentral:rRNA from 1 species